GCCUGCAGGCUCUGUUCCCAGAGGAAGAAAACACUCCCUCCUUAUUAGGUUAUGUCCACAGAGGCAGGAAAUGCCCUUUGAGGCAAGAGAUACCCCCAGAGGCAUAAAGCGCUCCCAAAGGCAAGAAGUGCCCUUUCGCCGGCUAGGCCUUGCCCUUUGAGGCAAGAAACGUUCCCCUUGGCAUCACACUGGUUAUUGCUGUUCGCCUAUUUUGUUUUCCAUGUCUUAUGCCAGUUCUUUUGAAAACGCCUGUACGAUAUAGGUUUCUGUUCACCCCUACACUGCUAUUCCCCUGACAGGGAUGAAGCCUUUUACAGACAUUGACCCAGUUGUAUAUGGCCAUAAAGUAAGAGGGAGAUGUUGGGGAAUUGUGAGGAUGUGGCUGAGCUUGGAAGGGCUUGAGCUUGAGGGGUGUGUCAAUCCUGUUAGUCUUUCUCUCUACGGAGAGGUUGAGCAAGGAGGGACAGUAUAACCCCAAAAGGUGUGCCUCUUAUCAGUCUCCCUGCCUCAUAAAGUGCCCCACACUCCCGAUACUAUGGCAAAUAGUUAAAAAUAAGGGGGAGAUGUUGGGUAGUAUGCCAGCUCCCCCUGGCUUCUGCUUAACCAAGCACCGGUAUGCCUGUAUAGGGAUUGGUUUGAUCCCAUUCAAAGCGGUCUAUUUACAUAAAUCACUUUUACAUUUACAUAAAGCACCACACUCCCUCCAGGGCAUUAAUGGUUCAGUGAUAGAAUUCUCGCCUGCUCUGCCCCCUCUCCUGUCACACCCUGAUUUUCACCAGUCACUUUUAUCUCCACCCUCUCUACAUCACGUCCUGUUUACACCCUACUUGGAAAGUAUAUAAGAACAACAUUGUUCGUUUUAGUUAGUUUGUAGUUGUUAGUUGGUAGUUGUGUUAGUUUUAGUCUAGCUCGGCUUAGAUUGUGCUGCGUCCUACAUGAAUAAAGAGAUACUGCAUACAGCUCAA